rnacentral:rRNA from 1 species
UGGGGAAUAUUGCACAAUGGGGGGAAACCCUGAUGCGGCGAUGCCGCGUGAGGGAAGAAGGUUUUCGGAUUGUAAACCUCUGUCUUCAGGGACGAAAAUGACGGUACCUGAGGAGGAAGCCCCGGCUAACUAUGUGCCAGCAGCCGCGGUAAUACAUAGGGGGCAAGCGUUGUCCGGAAUCACUGGGCGUAAAGGGAGCGUAGGCGGAUGUUUAAGUUAAGUGUGAAAGCCUGGGGCUUAACUCCAGAAAUGCACUUAAUACUGGAUAUCUAGAGUGUGGGAGAGGUAAGUGGAAUUCCUAGUGUAGCGGUAAAAUGCGUAGAUAUUAGGAGGAACACCAGAGGCGAAGGCGGCUUACUGGACCACAACUGACGCUGAGGCUCGAAAGCGUGGGGAGCAAACAGGAUUAGAUACCCUGGUAGU